CCGAGAACGCCAGGCGCGGGGCGGGACGUGGCCCUCAGCUCCUCCCUGGUCGCAGCGACACCUGGGCGGCCCCGUGGUCGGUACGUCCGCCCCACAAUCUAUGGGCCUGAACUCCUCGGCUCGCUUUUGAGAGCUCACGACUUCACUUGCCCGACGGGGCCGGGGAGGGUUAGGGAGCCCCAGUGCCACGCCGUCACCGCUGCCGGGCCGGGGAGGAAGAGGGAGGCGGACCCCGGCUGAGCCGCCAGGACUUAUGAUGGCGGCUCACGCUUCGCAAAGACAGUGACGGCGAUCACUUGGAGCGGAGCAGCCACGGCGCGCAGACGCCAUGGCGAGUGGGCGGGACCGGGGUGGGGCGGUGAGAACCGGCCACGCCUCCGACGCCGGGACGAACCUGGCGUUUUUCUGUACUGCGCUGCGAAAGUCUUCCAGAGUACUGAUAGGAAAAAGGAUGGAAUGCAGAAGGACCUUUGAAGAGAUGGGCGGCCUGAUCCAGAGAUCAUGAACCCUGCUCUGCUUUGGAUUCCAAGGCAUCAGAUGACACAACUCUAUAUAGUACUUUGAUGGCAGCCACAGGAAAGACUCCACUGGGACCACCCAGCUGAGUGACUCCUCCAUUCUUACCUCCAUGAAGAUAUCAUAUGAUCUAAUGUCCUGUGUUGGAUUAACUAAAGGUCAGCUUGAGCAGGGUCACCCAGCUGAACUGGGUCAGCAUGGUUCUGGGUGUGGAUGACCCACCUGGGAAUUGCUGCCAGAAGGGCAUAAAAGGAGAGGGGGAAGGGAAAGUUGCAUGAUGCUGAUUUUCCUGAAGAAGCUGCUUUUUGGUGGCUUUUCUUCAAAGGAGCUCUGGCUGCUGUCUUCCUUCAAGAGCACUUCAAUCCUUGUCAUGUCUCCUGGCUCCAGUGCAGAUCUCAGCCUUUGGCACAAACCCUUCACCCCAACAGCACAGGUUUCUAGCUUCUGCCAAUGGCCCUUGGGCCUUUCCAGUGCAGAUCCUCAAUAGGACUUGCAGAGGACAUUGCCCUGGGCUCCACACCCUUGACUGGGUCCUCCAGGUCUCCGGCGUGCAGAGGUUUGCACUCUUCUAAAUGGGACUCUGGUCACCACUGUUUGAAGCAAAUCCCUUCAUCAAAAAUGGAAGACCUUGCUCCACUCCCUACUUGGCCCAUGUAUGUAAUGUCUAUACUGCUGGUUUCUAUAAAAUAUAAAUUUAAAAAAUUUUAUUGUAUUGGUGCUUUUGUAACAUUUUAUAUUUGCUAGUAUUUUGUCAUUUCUUAUUCUCCCUUUUAAUCUCUUGUUAAUGAAGUUUGGUUCAUUCAAUUUUUCACCCAGUUGACAGCCUACAACUUUGCUAGGGUGUCUCCUGCAGAUUUCAUUAAGCAGAAAAUGAUGGAAAUAAAAAUACAAUGUCACUGGACAUGAUCAUGUUAAUCGAAAUAAGCCAGACGCAGAAAGACAAGUACAUAAUUGCUAUGUUUUCUCCUAAUAUGUGACAUCUAAAAAGAUAACAUGAAAAUAUAUAGAAGGGAGACAAUUAUUAGACAAAAGGAAAGGAAUAAGGAGGUGGGAGGGUAAGGGAAGAGAUAAGAGAAAGGAGUUAAGAAUUAUAUCUCCCAAAGAGUGAUUGAUAUUGAUCUGAAUUGAGGUGAAAAAUAGAUGCCUACAAAGCAUUAUAUAUGGCAUUGCCAAUUCUUUAGUUUCAAAAAUGUGUUGAUGCAUAGAAAUAGCAAGGUAUCAGAGAAUAUUGUUCACUGAACUGCUAUAAUCUGCCUCUGACAGUGAGAUGCUGAACAUGUUUUCCGUUUUGAGAGCAUGCAUUUUUGAAUUGUUAUUAAACUGUUUCUAAUCAGAGAAAAUUAAUGAUUGCUAAAUAUGUGAGGUGAUAGAUAUAUUAGCUUGAUUGCAGUAAUAAUUUCAUAUUCAUUUGUAUCUCAAAACAUGAUGCUAUACACUUUACAUAUUAUUUUUGUCAAUUGUACUAAAAAAUUAAAUAAGUAAAUAUAAAAUGCAAACUAAAUGUAAGCCAAAGAGCAGCAAAGUUGAAAUCUCUCUUCAGAUACUAGCCCAACAAA